rnacentral:rRNA from 1 species
CACGUAGGGGGCGAGCGUUGUCCGGAUUUAUUGGGCGUAAAGGGUGCGUAGGCGGCGGAGUAAGUUGGGUGUGAAAUCCCGGGGCUCAACCUCGGAAUUGCAUUCAAUACUGCUUCGCUCGAGUACUGGAGAGGAGACUGGAAUUCCUGGUGUAGCGGUGGAAUGCGCAGAUAUCAGGAGGAACACCGAUGGCGAAGGCAGGUCUCUGGGCCAUUACUGACACUGAGAAGCGAAAGCAUGGGGAGCGAACAGG